rnacentral:lncRNA from 1 species
CUAGCUCAGUAUAAAUAUGCAGUUUGAGUUGUUUAUCUAAAAGAGGGCUGAUUACUCCAUAUACUCAACUAAUUAUAUUCUUAAUUGUAAACUCCCUAUGUGUAACAGCAGGAAAUGUAAAAUAUUGGCUGCAAGAAGAAAUAAAAUCCAUGACAAUGGACUAAUAUCAUCUGUGAUGCCCACUCACUUCUACGUGGCAUGUGAGAACCAAUGCAUCUAUCUGCCUCAAUUAUACAGACACAGAUGUGGGGGCUUUACUGUCAUCUUCUGUGCCCAAGGGAAUCUAGUGCAUGAUCUUAUUCUGUUUGAGCUGCAACCUGAUACAGCAUGGCUUGAUGAGCAGUGCAUAGAUCCGUGCCCGGGAUCUGAACUGGUGAACUCCAGGCUGCUGAAGGAGAGCACACGAACUUAACCCCUACUCCACCAGGCUGGCCCCAACCAUAGCUUCUUGACCGGUAUCAGAAACCCAACUCAAGGCUGAACCUGGUUACACUUAUGUGGCAGUAAAAAUUAAUGGAAUGCGUUAUCAUUUUAAACUACCAUCAGUUGCCACGUGACCAUGAAAUAAAGGCAUUGGCAGUCAGAGGCAGCUAUGCAACCAGGAAAUUAUAGACAAGCAAGAGGAAGUGCUGAGUGAGACUUGACCUUGGAAUUUAAGAUUUUUUUUAAUAAAUCAAAAAGUUUUCUGUCCAUUUAUUUCCACUAAUGGUGUUAAGCAGUUGUGUCAAAUACAUAGGUUUAAUCUAAUCCUGUUGUACUCUGUGAUCAUUUAAUCUUCAAAACCUCUUUACAAAACUGCCAUGAGAUUCCAAUUUUCUUUACCGAGCAAAUCCAUUUUAACCCAGCUGGGGAAACUCACAUUGACGGGAACAGGUUCUUUUUGAUCCUGACUGGGCAAGUUAGGUAACAGUGAGACAAGCGGAAGUGUCAAUGGCAAAUCUCCCGUUCUCCACCUUUAACUGUAAGUGUCACAGGAUGGCC